GUAACAUGGAUUGCUUGCAAUCUGAUGACGAGUGGCGCACGGGUGCGUAACGCGUAUGCAAUCUACCUUUUACAGGAGAAUAGCCCAGAGAAAUUUGGAAUAAUGCUCCAUAAUAUCAUUUAUCAGCAUUGGUUUAUGAUUAAAGCUCCGGCGGUAAAAGAUGAGCAUGCGUUCUAUUAGCUAGUAGGUGAGGUAACGGCUCACCUAGGCUACGAUAGAUAGGGGCCCUGAGAGGGGGAUCCCCCACACUGGUACUGAGACACGGACCAGACUCCUACGGGAGGCAGCAGUGAGGAAUAUUGGACAAUGGAGGAAACUCUGAUCUAGCCAUGCCGCGUGCAAGAUGACUGCCCUAUGGGUUGUAAACUGCUUUUAUAUAGGAAGAAACACUCCCACGUGUGGGGGCUUGACGGUACUAUAUGAAUAAGGAUCGGCUAACUCCGUGCCAGCAGCCGCGGUAAUACGGAGGAUCCAAGCGUUAUCCGGAAUCAUUGGGUUUAAAGGGUCCGCAGGCGGCCUGUUAAGUCAGAGGUGAAAUCCUACAGCUCAACUGUAGAACUGCCUUUGAUACUGAUAGGCUUGAGUUAUUGUGAAGUGGUUAGAAUGUGUGGUGUAGCGGUGAAAUGCUUAGAUAUCACACAGAAUACCCAUUGCGAAGGCAGAUCACUAACAAUAUACUGACGCUCAUGGACGAAAGCGUGGGGAGCGAACGGGAUUAGAUACCCCGGUAGUCCACGCCGUAAACGAUGGAUACUAACUGUUCGACCUUCGGGUUGAGUGGUCAAGCGAAAGUGAUAAGUAUCCCACCUGGG
rnacentral:rRNA from 1 species